UCACCGCCAAAAUGUGGACCAGCCCGGCGAGGUCAGAGGUCCCGGACCGCAGGAGACCGAGGUAAUGAUGAUGUCAUGAGAAAUCUCAAGUGCACGCGGCUUAAUUGAUGCGCACGAGCCCCAUUUCCCCUCCGAUCAUCCGCAGCUCCCGGCUUUUACCUCCCUCCUCGCCAGCGCAGGCCGCUCUGACCUCCGCGGGGACGGGAAGAAAACAACAAACCCAUCCUCGCUACGGCGGGAUAAAAGCCCCUUUCCCCGAGCCAGGGGAAAGCUCCGCUCCGGUGCAGCGCAUUUCCCGGCCCGCCGCAGAGGAAUGCUCCGGCCGCAGGCAAGGCCGGGAGCAGCACUGCGCUACGCUGCCGGUUCGCUCUCGCCGACGCUGUGUGCGGUGUGUAUGGGGGGGGGGUGUGUGUCAUAGCUCCGCACCCCUGCCGUGUUUCUCGCCUACAGGGAUGCAUCCGCAGAUCUCCAGAUGGCUGUGACAUACAGAAAAACACAUCCUGUGUGGAUUUCUUAGGAAUAAACAGUCCCUAUUGACUUCAAAGAUGAAUGCUUAUGUAUGGUUCUCAGAUUAUUGCGAUCAGAGCCCUCUUCUAAUGCGAGCAUCACCACCUUCCAUGGGGAAGACACAGUCCCCCUUUGGCUGCUGUGAGGUACAUAGGAAGGGCACAGCAUUACAUAAACUUCCUUUUUGCACCAAUUUAUGGCAGGAUUCAUGCAGAUGCAAAUCACGGCACGCCAAUACAGCCCAGGCCAGCUUUCUCUGCAGAGCAUCCCUUUCCUUCUCCCAGCCAGCAGAAGGUCGGAAUUUAGAAGCUGUUUUUUCUCCAGCUAACUUCUGAAGUACAUUUUCUUCCGAGUCUUGUUUUGGAGAGGCACUACCAUUUUGUGCAACUUUGGUCCGGGCAACAGCAAGGGAAAAAAAUAGAAAGAAAAACAAAACAAAACAACAACAGCAACAACCAAAACAGAAAAAACUGAUGGCGCUGACAAAAAGGAUUCUUUUCCCAUCCCUGCCGUCAUGCAAACUUGAAGCGUGACCUCUCGUCGCUGGAAGGAGGGUGCCAGUUCCUGCCGUCCACCGCUUCGGGUUUGGAAACAGCGUGAAAACGCCCCUCAAAGCCCCUGUGGAUUUUAGAGCAAGGG